rnacentral:lncRNA from 1 species
CCGGGGAGCAACAUCGACGGGCCGCUAGAUGGCAUAAUUAUGUGGAUGCCAGUUGAGUUGGGAGCUGAGGAGGCUAUUGAUAUGGUGAACGACAGCAGCACGAGAAGAAGGGAAUGAUGGUAAAGAUUAAGGAUAAGCUGCUUGGUGGUCGCUAGAUGACAUAAUUAAGUCUUUUUGUGUGUGUCCCAAAAUCAUGUUUUAUGCUAUGCUUAAUCUGGAUGGAUGCGUUAUUUUUGCUGAAUAUGAGAGACCAAGACCUCCUCCAUCUUUGAAUAAAGCACCUACAUACAACCAAAGCUGAUUGGAAGAAAGGUCCAAUGGUUGAAAUAUGCCAUUGUUUUGAUCAAAUAAAGCAUUUAAAUAACAAUGAUGUGUGGUGCUUUUAAAUAUCAAAUAGAGCUAAUUGGAAGAUGGUCUAGUGUUGCUGUUGGUUGGAUUUUUAAUUUCUUAUUGUGAGUGGUGUAUUUCAGUUGCUGGUUUUUUUUGCCAAGAAACUCAAAAUCUCAUUCAUGAU